rnacentral:rRNA from 1 species
CUACGGGAGGCAGCAGUGGGGAAUAUUGCGCAAUGGGCGAAAGCCUGACGCAGCGACGCCGCGUGAGGGACGAAGGUCUUCGGAUUGUAAACCUCUUUCAGCAGGGACGAAGCGAAAGUGACUGUACCUGCAGAAGAAGCACCGGCUAACUACGUGCCAGCAGCCGCGGUAAUACGUAGGGUGCAAGCGUUGUCCGGAUUUAUUGGGCGUAAAGAGCUCGUAGGCGGUUUGUCGCGUCGGAUGUGAAAACCCAAUGGCUUAACCUUGGGCCUGCAUUCGAUACGGGCAGACUAGGGUGUGGUAGGGGAGACUGGAACUCCUGGUGUAGCGGUGGAAUGCGCAGAUAUCAGGAAGAACACCGAUGGCGAAGGCAGGUCUCUGGGCCACAACUGACGCUGAGGAGCGAAAGCGUGGGGAGCGAACAGGAUUAGAUACCCUAGUAGUCC